rnacentral:misc_RNA from 1 species
CUAAAUUAGAAAAUAAAUACAAAAUUUCCACAAUAAAGGUGGGAUUGAUUAGUAUUAUACGUAUCAAUGGCUCUAGUUAAGCUUCUUGGGCUUUGGAGUAGUCCCUAUAGUUACAGAGUAAAAUGGGCUCUGAAACUACAGGCAUACCAUACGAGUAUAUUGAAGAAGACCUCUCCAACAACAAAAGUCCUUCGCUUUUACAGUGCUCCCAAGAAGAAGCCGGUGCUCCUACAGAACGGUGGCAAACCAGUUAUAUUUACCAGUGUACCCAAAAAAGCUCAUUGUUUCAACUAGAAUUACUUGGUACUUUCUAGUUUCACUUAAAUUUAUUGAUAAUAAUAACAAUAAUUUUUUUUUUUUUAUUCUAGUUUCAAAGUUAUAUUUGUUAUCUUGAAGCACAAUAAUGUCGAAGAAAAUGAAAAUGGCUCCAAUCUAAUCCCAAAACCAAGCUAAAAAUGUCGUCUAAGAAAAAUUUUCAAGUUUCCAAAGUGAUUCAUUUCCCUACAUUCUAAACCCUCGACUAGUUAGAUUAGUUGGAACAUAACUAAGGCACCCUGCGUAAGAGCAUGAAACCAAGACGUUGCCCAAUGAGAGGAUUUAAUAUCUAGAGAGCACGGGUCAUCUUUAUUUUUGGCAUAGCCUUCUUCAUCUGACGAGCGCGCUCUCUUGCUUCUUUCUUGCGAGUAACCUCUGCAUUGAGCUUUGCUUCAGUCUCCUCUAGCAUCUUUUUCCUCUCUGCCUUCUUUUUCUGCAAGGCUUCUUGUCUUGCAUUUUGAAGUUCUUUGUACGCCUCUUGAGCUGCUUUCGACCUGGCUGCCUCUGUUUUAGAUUUAGCCUGGGAACUCAACUUGUACCUCCCAAUAAGAUCAAUGUAAUAAGGAACCAGUGCUACCAAUCUAGUCAUAUCAGCCAUGUUGUUGGCAUCAGCCAGUGCAAACUUGAACAACAGCAUCUUCUUAUGUGUUCCAGGGUGUUGAUCAGAAAAAUGCAUCGAGAUGAAACCCUUGCCAAAUUUCUCAAAUGCUUUUUCCCCAAAAACCUGCUCAAGCACAGCUUCAGUGAGCAAAUCCCCAGCAACCUCCUUAGACUCUGAAAUAACUCCCAACUCCUCAGACACCCAUUUCCUCCCACUAGGUGGCUGCGCUACAAUCCCAGCAAAUCUUUGCAAAUCUCUCACCUCCUUCUGCAUCACUUUGGCUGCCUUCUUCUUUGCCAGCGCCAAAACCACAUGAUCCAUCGCAUCAUCAUUCAUAUACACUUCAAAAGUGAUCUCAUCCUUGCAAGGCACGAUCAUAUUAUAAAUCCUUGCAAUCAAAUCGUGCCUACUCUUCAAUUCCAUCGUAGCCAACAAACCUUGACAGUACCUACGACCACUAGCAUAAAAUUUGAAAACAUUCUGCCCUUCUUUCAACAACAGCGGCGAAUCAUCGCCUUCUCCAACACCCAGAAGGCUAUAAUUCUUCUCGAAAAUAGAGUCUUUGGUAGCGAAUUUUGCCGCCCAAGAUAGCGCCAAAUUCUCAUUUUCUCGUUUCCCAGUGAAGUAAUUGAUAAUGAACAUGAUCAAGAAAGAUACGCACACAAUCUCCACCGUGUAUGAUUGCUGUUUCUUGAAAACCGUCUUUGGUUUUGAAUCUGAACUUUGGUUAGAUUCAGCAGUUUUGGGCGUCUCCACUGGAGGUUGAUGAACAGGUAUACCUUCAAAUUCAUCUUCGUCCCAGUCAUCAAAGGUAGUUGUCGAUGGUGGAGAAGAGGGUUUUGAUUGAUCCGAUUCGAGUUUCAAGGAUUGAGAAUCCGAAUUGGAAUUAACGUUGAGUUCAGAAUUUUCUGAUAUAGGAUUAGAAACUGAAGUGGGAGGUGUAUCGGACCGAGUUAAUGGAAGAUCGGUGAGUUUGAACGAGUGAGGAUCUAUGGUUUCCUCCACGACGUCGUCUUCUUCGGCUUCAAAACCUUCGAAGUGGGAAUCGGCAGUAACAUAAGAGCGAGAGAGGGUGAGAAGCAAGAGGGAGAGGAGAGAGAGAAAUCGGAGAAAUGAAACGGGUCGCGUCAUUGCGGCGGGUUGGGCUCUUAGUACAGGGAGAGUGCGUGGAUAUUUAAGCUUUUCUAGAGACAGAAAGGAGCGGAGGCAUAAGGUGGUUGUGAUGGCGGAGAGAGACACAUUGGUGACGGAGAAAACAAAGGAAAUGAUCGGAUGAAGUGGCAGAUAAAAGAGUACACCUGUGCUACCGGUUGUCAUCCCACUUACGAUUUGUUAGAAAGACAGUGAAUCAGCAUGCCCAUCUUGUCGCUCGUGCUGCUG